rnacentral:rRNA from 1 species
UACGUAGGGGGCAAGCGUUGUCCGGAAUCAUUGGGCGUAAAGCGCGCGUAGGCGGCCCGGUAAGUCCGCUGUAAAAGUCCAGGGCUCAACCCUGGAAAGCCGGUGGAUACUGUCGGGCUUGAGUACGGGAGAGGCGAGUGGAAUUCCUGGUGUAGCGGUGAAAUGCGCAGAUAUCAGGAAGAACACCCGUGGCGAAGGCGGCUCUCUGGGACGGUACUGACGCUGAGACGCGAAAGCGUGGGGAGCGAACAGG